rnacentral:misc_RNA from 1 species
GCAAACAGAAGAUGUGAAGGGCAUAGAUCCAGCCAUAAUCACUCAUAGGCUGAGUGUGGACUCAGAAGCUAAGCAGGUUCAACAAAAGAAAAAGUGUUUCGCACUUGAACAAUAGAAGAUUAUUGCUGAGCAAGUUAAGAAGCUAUUGGACGCAGGUCUAAUCUGAGAAGUGAGGUACCAAACUUGGGUAGCCAAUGUCGUCUUAGUCAGAAAGGCAAAUGGAAAAUGGUGGAUGUGUGGACUAUACAGAUCUUAACAAAGCAUGCCCGAAAGAUCACUAUCCGUUCCCAACCAUUGACAAGUUAAUGGAUGCAAUAGCUGGGCAUGUGGUAGUAUCUCUGGUGGAUGCUGUGUUCGGAUACCAUCAAAUAAGAAUGGAUCCGAAAGAUGAAGAGAAGAUUGCUUUCAUGACAGAAUCUGGAGUUUUGUGUUACAAGGCCAUGCCAUUCGGUCUCAAUAAUGUUAGUGCAACAUAUCAAAGAUUGGUGGAUCAAAUGUUCAAAGAUUUGAAGGGUAGAAUCAUCAAAGUAUUAUAGAUGAUAGACAACAUAAUCAUCAAAUUCAAGAGACAAGGACCAUGUUAGAGACAUAGCUGGAGCAUUUGAUGUGCUGGACAGAACAAGGAUGAAGUUGAACUCAGACAAGUGCGCCUUCGGGGUAAAGGCUGACAAGUUCCUUGACUUCAUGAUAUCCGAGCGAGGGAUAGAGGCAAACCCAGAAAAGAUCUGAGCAAUAAUGGGUAUGUAACCACCAAGCAACAUAAAGGAAGUUCAACGACUCAACGGAU